UGGGGGAUAUUGCACAAUGGGGGGAACCCUGAUGCAGCGACGCCGCGUGGGUGAAGAAGCGCCUCGGCGCGUAAAGCCCUGUCAGCAGGGAAGAAAAUGACGGUACCUGAAGAAGAAGCCCCGGCUAACUACGUGCU
rnacentral:rRNA from 1 species